rnacentral:rRNA from 1 species
GAUGAACGCUGGCGGUAUGCUUAACACAUGCAAGUCGUACGGAAGUUUUUUAACUUUAGUGGCGGACGGGUGAGUAACACGUGAGAAUUUGCCUUUAGGAGGGGGAUAACAAUUGGAAACAAAUGCUAAUACCCCAUAUGCUUUUGAGUGAAAUGGAUUUAUCCGCCUAGAGAGAAGCUCGCGGCUGAUUAGCUUGUUGGUAAGGUAAGAGCUUACCAAGGCGACGAUCAGUAUCUGGUUUGAGAGGACGAUCAGACACACUGGAACUGAGACACGGUCCAGACUCCUACGGGAGGCAGCAGUGGGGAAUUUUCCGCAAUGGGCGAAAGCCUGACGGAGCAAUACCGCGUGAGGGAGGGAAAGCCUACUGGGUUGUAAACCUCUUUUUUCAGGGAGGAAAAAAAUGACGUGUACCUGAAGAAUAAGCAUCGGCUAACUACCGUGCCAGCAGCCGCGGUAAUGUGACUACUG